CCUACGGGGAGCUGCAGUGAGGAAUAUUGGUCAAUGGACGGAAGCCUGAACCAGCCAUGCCGCGUGCAGGAAGACGGCUCUAUGAGUUGUAAACUGCUUUUGUACAAGGGUAAACCUGAAUACGUGUAUUCAGCUGAAAGUACUGUACGAAUAAGGAUCGGCUAACUCCGUGCCAGCAGCCGCGGUAAUACGGAGGAUCCAAGCUUUAUCCGGAUUUAUUGGGUUUAAAGGGUGCGUAGGCGGAUUGAUAAGUUAGAGGUGAAAUGUCCGAGCUUAACUCGGGAACUGCCUCUAAUACUGUUGAUCUAGAGAGUAGGUGCGGUAGGCGGAAUGUAUGGUGUAGCGGUGAAAUGCUUAGAGAUCAUACAGAACACCGAUUGCGAAGGCAGCUUACCAAUCUAUAUCUGACGUUGAGGCACGAAAGCGUGGGGAGCAAACAGGAUUAGAUACCCUAGUAGUC
rnacentral:rRNA from 1 species